GGUCCAUUAUCUUUUUUUUCUCAUGAAGUAUUUAAAUUUUUUGGUAAUCAGGGCCAAGUCCUUAUCUUUCUCGCUAUUGUUUGAUUUUUCUGUGUUUUCUUCUUCCUGAGCUGUCGACUUGAGAGCCAUGAUCCUCUUUCUUCUGAUUUCUUCCUCAGUGUGUUGCUUCAUGGUCAAUUCGUGAGUCAUGAGGGAUCCAAG
rnacentral:lncRNA from 1 species